UGCGCAGGCGGCCAUGUGUGUGAGGCGUGAAAGCCCGAUGCUUAACAUCGGAAUUGCACCUCAAACUACAUGGCUAGAGCAUUGGAGAGGGUAGCGGAAUUCACGGUGUAGCAGUGAAAUGCGUAGAUAUCGUGAGGAACACCAGAGGCGAAGGCGGCUACCUGGACAAUUGCUGACGCUCAGGCACGAAAGCGUGGGGAGCAAAAGGGAUUAGAUACCCCUGUAGUCCACGCCCUAAACGGUGCACACUAGGUCUUGGCGGAUUCGACCCCACCAGGGCCCAAGCUAACGCGUUAAGUGUGCCGCCUGAGGACUACGGCCGCAAGGCUAAA
rnacentral:rRNA from 1 species